rnacentral:rRNA from 1 species
GACGAACGGCUGGCGGCGUGCCUAACACAUGCAAGUCGAACGAAGCAUAGCAAUAUGCUUAGUGGCGGACGGGUGAGUAACGCGUGAACAAUCUGCCCUGUACAAAGGAAUAGCCUCGGGAAACCGGGAUUAAAACCGUAUGACACUUUAGUAUCGCAUGAUAAGAAAGUCAAAUCGAAUAGAGGUAUGGGAUGAGUUCGCGUCUGAUUAGCUGGUUGGCGGGGUAACGGCCCACCAAGGCGACGAUCAGUAGCCGGCCUGAGAGGGUGAACGGCCACACUGGAACUGAGACACGGUCCAGACUCCUACGGGAGGCAGCAGUGGGGAAUAUUGCACAAUGGAGGGAACUCUGAUGCAGCGACGCCGCGUGAGUGAAGAAGGUCUUCGGAUCGUAAAACUCUGUCCUUGGUGAAGAAAAGGACGGUAGCCAAGGAGGAAGCCCCGGCUAACUACGUG